UCUAUAACCGGGUGUGGCUGCGGCCUCCGGGGGCGUGGGCAGAUGCCCUCUCUCCCGGGUGGUAGAGGUAAAACUUGCACGCGCCACAUGUCUGAAUCCUUUUUUUACGAGCACCUUUCGUUCUCCUUCGGUGGGGUGACCUGCCGUUGGAACCCAUCAAAACUCUUUUUUGCAUCUAGCAUUACCUGUUCUGAUACAAACAAUCGUUA
rnacentral:misc_RNA from 1 species